GCGGCAGCAGGAAGGAGGAGGAGCAGAGCAAAGGAGGACCCGAGAGGCUCCAGCCAUCCCUGAGCUCGCAGCCCCCCGGGACCAUCGCCCCCCAUCCCGCAGGAUUUCCCAAUCCCAGCGCUUAGCAGGAUGGAGGUGGAAGCUGUGAGGAAGAGGAAGAUGCCCCAGGACACCCAGGCAGACAAGGAGCUGAGGAUGGAGACCAG